UAUUAAAAAUUUGAUUUAUUUUUAAUGUUAAAAACUAGUGUAGCUGACAAAAAAAAUUAAACAGUUACACAUGAUGUGUCACUUGUACCUCCUUUUCACGUACGUGAAUCAAUUUUUAAUAAUAGAAAUAAAUAAUGUUUUUAACA
rfam:Gossypium hirsutum cultivar TM-1 chromosome 6, whole genome shotgun sequence